AUGGCGGCGCUCUCAGACGAUGGUAACCUUGUCAUAAGAGACGACUCGAACCCAUCCAUCGUGUGGUGGCAGAGCUUUGAUCACCCAACAAAUGUUUUCCUGCCCGGUGCAAGGAUUGGCCGGAACAAGGUUGCUGGCCAAAAAUAUAGUCUUGUUUCGAAGAAGAAUCUGAUAGAUCCAGCUCCAGGCCUAUACUGCAUGGAGCUAGACCCCACUGGUGAUCCGCAAUACUUUGUUAAGCUCUGUAAUUCAUCCAUGGUGUAUUUCUCCAUGGGGGAAUGGACCGGGUGCGGGUGGUACUUCAAUUUGGUACCGGAGAUGUCAGGCAGUCACUUUCUCCACACCAAAUUCAUCGACAAUGAUGAAGAGGAGUACUUCACUUAUGCCCCGAUGGAUCCAACAAUGAUAACAAUCUGCUUCCUUGAUGUCUCCGGUCUUACCAAGCAACUUCUUUGGCUUGAAAUCUUGCAAGAUUGGGAAACCAUACAUGUCCAACCAAGGGCUCCAUGUGAUGUUUUCGCCGUUUGUGGGCCUUCCACGGUCUGCAAUGACAACGCACUUACAUUGUGUAACUGCAUGAAUGGGUUCUCUGUGAAGUCACCAGAGGAUUGGGUGCUAGAUGAUAGAGGAGGUGGAUGCAUGAGAAAUACUCCACUAGAACGUUGCAACAGCAACAAAAGUAACACAACAGGAUUAACUGACCAGUUCUUUCCCAUACAUAGUGUUAGAUUACCAUAUUAUGCACAUAGCAUGGAAACAAUUGAGAGUGGACAAGAGUGCAUGCAGGUUUGUCUAAGAAAUUGCUCAUGCACUGCCUACUCCUAUGGCAAGAGUGGCUGUUCUAUCUGGCAUGGCCAACUUAUUAAUGUAAAGCAGUACAAUAAUGGCACAGUCAAUAGUGACAAAGAGAUUCUUUUCCUUCGUCUUGCUGCUGGAGAUGUGCAAAGUUGGGGAAACAACACGAAAGGAAAUAGAAGAAUGAUCAUAGGUCUCACUGUGUGUGCUUUCGGUUUGUUGGUGAUGCUAUUGAUGAUUUGGAGGGGGGAAAGGAAGUGGUGUUCUCAUCCCUUAAGCAACACUGAAGGUGGAUGUGGAGUUAUAGCAUUUAAGUAUGUUGAUUUGCAGCAGACAACUAAAAAUUUCUCAGAGAAGCUUGGUGUAGGUGGUUUUGGCUCUGUAUUUAAGGGAAUUCUGCGUGACUCGACUACCAUAGCGGUGAAGAUGCUUGAUGGUGCACGCCAAGGAGAAAAACAGUUCAGGGCUGAGGUUAGCACAAUUGGAAUGAUCCAACAUGUCAACUUAGUAAAACUGAUUGGUUUUUGCUGUGAAGGUGAUAGAAGGAUGCUUGUUUAUGAACACAUGGCAAAUCGUUCUCUUGAUGUCCAUAUAUUCCAAGCCAAUGGUUCUAUGCUAGAUUGGAGUACAAGAUUUGGGAUGGCAAAACUUAUGGGAAGGAACUUUAGUCGAGUUCUGACUACCAUGAGAGGAACCAUAGGAUACCUUGCGCCUGAAUGGAUUAGUGGAGUGGCUAUUACACAAAAGGUUGAUGUUUACAGCUAUGGAAUGGUACUGCUAGAAAUCAUGUCUGGAAGGAGGAACUCAUCACCUCAAGAAUGUACAGGAAAUAUUGAUCAUGAUGUUCAUUUUCCUGUGCAAGCUGCAGUUAAGCUUCUUGAGGGAGAUGUGAGGACUUUGGUCGAUCAACAAUUAUAUGGUGACAUCAACGUGGAGGAGGUUGAAAGAGCUUGCAAAGCUGCAUGUUGGUGCAUUCAAGAUCAUGACUUUGAUCGUCCUACAAUGGGCGAUGUGGUUCAAGUUCUCGAGGGUCUAGUCAAGCUUGAUAUGCCCCCAGUGCCAAGAUUGCUUCAAGCUAUAUCAGGAAGCUCUUCAACAAAUUAA
rnacentral:rRNA from 1 species